rnacentral:rRNA from 1 species
GCCGAACGCUGGCGGCGUGCUUAACACAUGCAAGUCGAACGGAAAGGCCCAGCUUGCUGGGUACUCGAGUGGCGAACGGGUGAGUAACACGUGGGUGAUCUGCCCUGCACUCUGGGAUAAGCCUGGGAAACUGGGUCUAAUACCGGAUAUGACCAACUGUAGCAUGGUGGUUGGUGGAAAGCUUUUGCGGUGUGGGAUGGGCCCGCGGCCUAUCAGCUUGUUGGAGGGGUAAUGGCCUACCAAGGCGACGACGGGUAGCCGACCUGAGAGGGUGAUCGGCCACACUGGGACUGAGACACGGCCCAGACGCCUACGAGAGGCAGCAGUGGGGAAUAUUGCACAAUGGGCGCAAGCCUGAUGCAGCGACGCCGCGUGAGGGAUGACGGCCUUCGUGUUGUAAACCUCUUUCACCAGGGACGAAGCGUGAGUGACGGGACCUGGAGAAGAAGCACCGGCCAACUACGU